AUGUGGGCUAUGAAGGCAGUCAAAUUGGGAUAUAAAUGGGAUGUUGGAAAUGGUAGAUCAAUUAAGUUUUGGGAAGAUAUUUGGUUUGGUAAUUCACCACUUGCCACCCAAUUCUGGGAUUUAUACUGCAUAGCUAAUGAUAAGAACAAAACCAUAGCAGAUACCUGGGAUGGAGAGUCUCUCAGAAUC
rnacentral:rRNA from 1 species